CAUGGCUCAGAUUGAACGCUGGCGGCAGGCCUAACACAUGCAAGUCGAGCGGAUGAAGAGAGCUUGCUCUCUGAUUCAGCGGCGGACGGGUGAGUAAUGCCUAGGAAUCUGCCUGGUAGUGGGGGACAACGUUUCGAAAGGAACGCUAAUACCGCAUACGUCCUACGGGAGAAAGUGGGGGAGUCUUCGGACCUCACGCUAUCAGAUGAGCCUAGGUACGAUUAGCUAGUUGGUGAGGUAAAGGCUCACCAAGGCGACGAUCGUUAACUGGUCUGAGAGGAUGAUCAGUCACACUGGAACUGAGACACGGUCCAGACUCCUACGGGAGGCAGCAGUGGGGAAUAUUGGACAAUGGCGAAAGCCUGAUCCAGCCAUGCCGCGUGUGUGAAGAAGGUCUUCGGAUUGUAAAG
rnacentral:rRNA from 1 species